rnacentral:rRNA from 1 species
UACGAAGGGAGCUAGCGUUGUUCGGAAUUACUGGGCGUAAAGCGCACGUAGGCGGACGUGUCAGUCAGGCGUGAAAUCCCGGAGCUCAACUUCGGAACUGCCCUUGAUACAACACGUCUUGAGUCCGAGAGAGGUGAGUGGAAUUCCUAGUGUAGAGGUGAAAUUCGUAGAUAUUAGGAAGAACACCGGUGGCGAAGGCGGCUCACUGGCUCGGUACUGACGCUGAGGUGCGAAAGCGUGGGGAGCAAACAGG